UUGAACGCUGGCGGCAUGCCUUACACAUGCAAGUCGAACGGUAGAGGGGCAACCCUUGAGAGUGGCGAACGGGUGGGUAAUAUAUCGGAACGUGCCCAGUCGUGGGGGAUAACGCAGCGAAAGCUGCGCUAAUACCGCAUACGAUCUAUGGAUGAAAGCGGGGGAUCGCAAGACCUCGCGCGAUUGGAGCGGCCGAUAUCAGAUUAGGUAGUUGGUGGGGUAAAAGCCCACCAAGCCGACGAUCUGUAGCUG
rnacentral:rRNA from 1 species